AGAGCGCCGCGGGCCCGAGAUGAAGCCGGCGGUGGACGAGAUGUUCCCUGAGGGCGCCGGGCCUUACGUGGACCUGGACGAGGCGGGAGGCAGCACCGGGCUCUUGAUGGACUUGGCAGCCAAUGAAAAGGCCGUUCAUGCAGACUUUUUUAAUGAUUUUGAAGAUCUUUUCGAUGAUGAUGACAUCCAGUGAGAUGACCUCUGGCUGCAGGCGGGGCCAGGCCCUUGGUACAGAGUCGCAGUGUGAGCCUGCGCAGGACAGUUUCAGGUGGUUUUAAAGAACACGUGGAAAUCCCUUGAAUUUAGGACCUGGUUAACCAAGAAAGAUAAAAAUGUUCUUCACCACCUAGAUGAGGCUGUUCGUCUCUGAACAUGACCACGUUGUGUCCUCACUCCAAUUAAAAGAAAGCAACGUCACGUGCAGAGUGAUCUCUUCUUGCACUUUUGAGUGAGUGUUGCAGUCCCUAAAAGUCUGUGUGUGUGUCACGCAUGUGUCAGCUGAGAGAACCAUGUUUGUCUGCUAGCAAAUACCGGGGGUUACGGUGCUGUAUGUGCUAGACCAGGAGGCAGUGCGGGCCGAGCACAGCUGGGCCUGCUGACGGCACUGGGAGGACCUUGCCCCGGGGCCGCCCCUCUGCUGCGUGGGCAGGUUCGCACCGUGUGUGUCUGUCAGCACAGCGGGCCCUAUGCUGUCCUCCGGCCGCCACGUCAGGGCCGCUGCCCCACAAACUCGAGGCUUAAGGAUGACGGGAGGCGCCUUCUACGCGAGGAAUGCACGUUGGUCCGUUUCGAAGGAGAGUGUAACACCCGUGUGGGGGAGGGGUUUUGUUUCCUGUAGGCCCAGCUCGGUGAUUGAUAAUGGUUGUAGAACAGUGAAGUUGCUGUUUCAUAUCCAUCUUGCAGUGAAGAGUGUUCCUCAGACCAGGGGAUGCCCAGUCCCAGGACUUCAGCAGUUCCCCUUUUCAGUUAAAGCCCCUCAGUGGACGAGGGACCUGCUGCCCCCGCUACUGAGAACCCGCUGAAGGGUGUCGCCUUGUCAUGUUUACGGAAGAGGCAUUUGUACUGGAGGCCAGGUGAGAUUUUAAGCAGAACUGAAUGUCAGCCCUAACUCAUUUUCUUGUGAGUGGUGAGUAGAUUUCCACCCUGUCAUCCUGAUGGAGCUCCUAUCCUUUGUUGGGGCUCAGCAGCUGGGGACUGCCCGGGACAAGUUAGUUCCGUGGUUCCUGUGCUGCAGCGAGGGCAGCCAGAGCACAGGGCGCGUGGGAAGGCAGGAGAGUGGACUGCGGUGUCAGAACACCCUCAGUUGGAAGCUCUGCACUGGGCUGCACGUUGAGACUGCCGCUUUGUGUCUGAGAUCCACGUGGCUUAUCUGCAGGCCGGGAGCAGGGUUUCCAGCAGCCAGGCUGCAUACCAUCUGCACUUUGAGAGGGCGGAGUUUCUCAGUGCUGUGUUCUUGUGGUUCAUUCAUGAGAGUCGUGUUCACAGUUUCCUAAGUGGAUUCCUCAAAGCAGGCAUAGAA
rnacentral:lncRNA from 1 species